rnacentral:lncRNA from 9 species
GCCCCAGCUCUGUUUGAGGUGCCCCUCUUACGAGGAGCAGCUCCACCCAACCUCCCCUCCUCUUCCCAGAGCUCCUGCGACUCCAGCUCACUGUGCGGGGCUGGGGCACUGCAGCCAGAUCUCAUCCCCACAGCCCUCUUCUGUCCUGGAUCCUCUCAGACACGCCCUGGUGUUUCAAAGGUAUGAGCGGAGGAAGACAAGGAAGUGAAAGAAGAGAGUUUCAGAAAGAACACCACGGUCCGAGAUGACAAACGAGGUAGGCGAGUGGCUGCCGUGCCCACCGCAUUCCAGGCUCAAACAGGACGUAAGGGGUAGGAAAGCCACACGGAAGACCUUCUGGGCCCUGCAUCCCACCUUGCCCCACACACUAAGUGAAUAAAAACAACGCAGUGGCAGCUGUACAGGGGACAAAGAAGAAAAUAGGGGGAUAAGAUGACCAAGAUGUUGCCUUUGAUAGCCAGCAGCUAUCUAUAAUUGAGCCUAAAUCACGGUGGCGUGUCAAGUUCUGGAGGCUGGUGCCUACCCUCUUCUAACCCUUACAACAGCCCCAGGGGAGAGAGACGAUAGUCUCCUCAGAGCUGAGAAACUGACCCACAGAGAAGUUAAGUGACGGCCCAAGGUGACGCACGGUGUGUCGCUCAGGUGCAGUUCUCUGAGCGCGGGUAUCGGAUGUAGAUUGGUUUGUACCUUUACUCUCACAUCUGGCUCAGCCGGGCACAGCAGGUGCAUGACACGUGAUGAAGCCAUCUGGAGCCAAGACCCCAGGGUCGGUUCCCCCGCGCUGUGUCCCGCUCACCCGCGGAAUUCUCACGUCCAACCUUCAGGGCAGUCACAGCGCUGAGACUCCGACUCGACUCCCGGACCUGGUCCUCGGCCCGCCUGCCCGCUCCCAGGUCCGGCUCCCCCUGUGGGUCCCUGCUCCUGGUCCCUUCCUGCUGACCAAAAGGUGUUCAGUACAACAGAAGGCUCUGUGCUUGUUUUCCUGAGACCUGUUAUUAACCUAAGCUCUUAAAACGGCAGCAGCAUACACUCAAAAAUUAGAAACAAAGCAUGAGAAUUGAUCUUUUUAUCAAGGAACUUUACACUGCAUGGCUGACUGACUAUGCAAACUCACACCAUGAGAUGAAGCCAGGGGAAUUUCAUAGCUCCACUAUCAGGGAAGACAUUGCUACGGAGGGUGGAGCUCCAGCCACCUCCCCUGGCGGCGUUGAGACUGUCCGCUUGCAUUUCACAUAGACUGGGUGGGAUCACAGACUCCGACAGAAAACUCCGCAGGUGCAAGACAGUAGCCAGCACAUGCAGUAAAUCCCCUGUGAUGAAACGACACGUUCAAGACGCCUCCCACAGCUUACUUAUCUCCUUUGAUAAAGUUGUAAUGGUUGUGUUUCUUCCAUUAGUGGUCAGGAUAAGGGCAAAUCCACAUAGAAAAGGGUGCGUGACUUGAUUCAAUCAAAAUAGGUUUUGUAUAACAGUUCACUCACUUUUCAAAGUAAAAUUCCUAUGAAAAGGUCGAAAUUGUAGGCUUAUAAUGUAAGAAAAGUUUCUCAAACUUUGAGCUAUAAGAUGAAAAAGGUCUGUUGAUCGAAUGUAUAACAAUGCUGAUUAUAGUUGAUAAUAAGGUAUAAUUCAGAUCUGUGGUUCAGUGGGUCAGAACCUGACUACUAUCUGUGAGGAUGCAGGCCUGAUCCCUGGCCUCACUCAGUGGGUUAAGGAUCCGAUGUUUCCGUAAGCUGCAGCUUAGGUCUCAGAUGUGGCUCAGAUCCCUCGCUGCUGUGGCUGUUGCAGCUCCAAUUCAACCCCUAGCCCGGGAACCUCCAUAUGCCCCAGGUGCAGCGCUAAAAAGGAACAAAGAAAUUUGCUAAAAGAGUAGAACUUAAAUGUCCUUACAAAAAACAAAAAAAGGUAAUAGGUGGGAGGAAUUAACUAGAUGGUAGAUGGCAAGACUCUUUCAUGAUAUGUACAAACAUUAAAUCACUGUGAUGUAUUUUACAAUUUUAUCUGUCAAGUGUAUGCCUAAAUAAAAUUGAAAAAAUGAAGUCAAAUGAAUGACAUGCAUCCUUCUCCCCACCCCUAAUUUCUUUCUUCCUUCAGCAGCAACAACUGAAAUUUUUAUGAUUAGGGCUCUUUUACGUAAU